CCGGGCUUGUCUAGUAUAAGCAAUCAUACUGUGAAACUGCGAAUGGCUCAUUAAAUCAGUUAUCGUUUAUUUGAUAGUACCUUUACCUGGAUAACCGUGGUAAUUCUAGAGCUAAUACAUGCUAAAAACCCCGACUUCGGAAGGGGUGUAUUUAUUAGAUAAAAAACCAAUGCCCUCUGGGCUCCUUGGUGAUUCAUAAUAACUUAACGAAUCGCAUGGCCUUGCGCCGGCGAUGGUUCAUUCAAAUUUCUGCCCUAUCAACUUUCGAUGGUAAGAUAGAGGCUUACCAUGGUCUUAACGGGUAACGGAGAAUUAGGGUUCGAUUCCGGAGAGGGAGCCGGAGGAACGGCUACCACAUCCAAGGAAGGCAGCAGGCGCGCAAAUUACCCAAUGCUAAUUCAGCGAGGUAGUGACAAUAAAUACUGAUACGGGGCUCUUUCGGGUCUCGUAAUUGGAAUGAGUACAAUCUAAAUCCCUUAACGAGGAACAAUUGGAGGGCAAGUCUGGUGCCAGCAGCCGCGGUAAUUCCAGCUCCAAUAGCGUAUAUUAAAGUUGUUGCCGUUAAAAAGCUCGUAGUUGAACCUUGGACCUGGCUGAUCUGUCCUCCUAAUCGAGCGCACGGAUUCGGUCGGGUCUUUCCUUCUGGGGAGCCCUAUGCCCUUCACUGGGUGUAGUGGGGAACCAGGACUUUUACCUUGAAAAAAUUAGAGUGUUCAAAGCAGGCCUUUGCUCGAAUACAUUAGCAUGGAAUAAUAGAAUAGGACAUCGGUUCUAUUUUGUUGGUUUCUAGGACCGCUGUAAUGAUUAAUAGGGAUAGUCGGGGGCGUCAGUAUUCAAUUGUCAGAGGUGAAAUUCUUGGAUUUAUUGAAGACUAACUACUGCGAAAGC
rnacentral:rRNA from 1 species